rnacentral:rRNA from 1 species
AUACGACUCUCGGCAACGGAUAUCUCGGCUCUCGCAUCGAUGAAGAACGCAGCGAAAUGCGAUACUUGGUGUGAAUUGCAUAAUCCCGUGAAUCAUCGAGUCUUUGAACGCAAGUUGCGCCCGAGGCCCUUCGGCCGAGGGCACAUCUGCUUGGGCGUCGAC